rnacentral:lncRNA from 1 species
GGGCAUGCCUGCUCGUGCUGAAGAUUGGGCCUGCAGCACUCUGAGUUAUACCCCUUACAGACACUCCCUCUCUCCUGGGCAUCAGGCUCCCUGGUUCAGAUCAUCCAUGACCCAUUUCUCUACACUCAAGGAGUUAUCUGGCCACGUUGGCUCCAGCUCUAAUGGAGUGAGUUGAGCAGUGAUGGACCCAGAGAAGAGUGGAGAAAACAGGGCAUGAAGGAGAAAUAUAUUUUCGUGUUUGCUUAUAAGGAACUCUAGAAGGAUCUGUAAGAAACAAAAUACUACCUGUGGAGGCAGAUGGCCCUGGACACACAGGCUAAAUGAGAGAAGGAACAGAUUAAGGCAAAGUGUAUUUUCAGUAUCUUGAAUCAUGUACCUGUAUUAUAACCUCUUUGGAAUUUUCAAUAAAUUGAAUUUUUUUAAAACUUCCA